rnacentral:rRNA from 1 species
CUUGCCCUACGGGGGGCAGCAGUGGGGAAUAUUGCACAAUGGGCGCAAGCCUGAUGCAGCAACGCCGCGUGAGCGAAGAAGGUCUUCGGAUCGUAAAGCUCUGUCCUUGAGGAAGAAGGAAGUGACGGUACUCAAGGAGGAAGCCCCGGCUAACUACGUGCCAGCAGCCGCGGUAAUACGUAGGGGGCAAGCGUUAUCCGGAAUUAUUGGGCGUAAAGGGUGCGUAGGUGGUUUCUUAAGUCAGGGGUGAAAGGCUACGGCUCAACCGUAGUAAGCCUUUGAAACUGGGGAACUUGAGUGCAGGG